GUCUACGGCCAUGCCACUCUGAACGUGCCCGAUCUCAUCUGUUCUCGGAAGCUAAGCAGGGUCAGCCCUGGUUAGUACUUGGAUGGGAGACCACCUAGAAAUACCAGGUGCUGUAGGCG
rnacentral:rRNA from 1 species